rnacentral:misc_RNA from 1 species
GCUAGAUCCUUCAUUGGUUAAUGUUGUGACUUGCCUUGAGCCAUUCUUGUCUAAGCAUCUUCUUAGAGUAAUACCCGUGAUUGGGAUUCUUUCCAAUAAAAAGGAAUUCAAUCCCAUCCCGAAUGUUUCUGAAGUAGAAACAGUUUUCGAUGUCCCAUUGGAGAUGUUUCUCAAGGACGAGAAGAGGAAAUCAGAAGAAAGAGAAUGGAUGGGCGAAAAGUAUUUGAUUCAUUUGUUCGACUACGAGAUGGACGACAAGAAAUACUUGAUCUGGGGUUUAACUGCUGGGAUUUUGAUUAGAGCAGCAUCAGUUGUGUACCAGAGACCACCUGCAUUCUUGGAACAAAAUCCUAAAUUCAAGCUCCCUAAGGUAGUGGACAAGAAUACUACAAUGAGUUAAACUGUAAUUGAUCAUUGUUUCUUGUAUGAUCAAAAGCUUGUGUCAUAAAUUAAAUGCAUUACAAUGGAGUAUUGUGUAUUCUUCUGGUCCA